UCGUCCUCUAUAUCAAUUAUGUAAAAGUCCGCAGGAAAUAUUAGUUGAUUUGCCUUAACGAGGACAUCUUCUAUCACCCCAUCUAGAUGUACACAUGAUAUGUCUACCAAUUGAAUAAACACCCCUGUUUCUUUCAAAGGACCCUUGUUUAGCAAUUUAAUAAUCGAUAUAGGAAUUACGUUAAUAAAUGCUCCCAAAUCACACGUCUUUCUUUAUGCCAAUAUUUCCUAUUUUGUAGGAUAUAGAAAGUAUACAUUGG
rnacentral:lncRNA from 1 species